UGGGUAACCUGCCUCAAAGAGGGGAAUAGCCUCCCGAAAGGGAGAUUAAUACCGCAUAAUAUGUUUAAGUCGCAUGACUUUAACAUCAAAGGAUUUUCUUUUAAGAAAUUCCACUCUGAGAUGGACCCGUGGCGCAUUAGCUAGUUGGUGAGGUAACGGCUCACCAAGGCAACGAUGCGUAGCCGACCUGAGAAGGUGAUCGGCCACAUUGGAACUGAGACACGGUCCAGACCUCUACGGGAG
rnacentral:rRNA from 1 species